rnacentral:rRNA from 1 species
AACGAACGCUGGCGGCAGGCCUAACACAUGCAAGUCGAGCGAGGACUUCGGUCCUAGCGGCGGACGGGUGAGUAACGCGUGGGAACGUGCCCCUUGGUACGGAAUAGCCCCGGGAAACUGGGAGUAAUACCGUAUGAGCUCUACGGGGGAAAGAUUUAUCGCCAAGGGAUCGGCCCGCGUUGGAUUAGGUAGUUGGUGGGGUAAUGGCCUACCAAGCCGACGAUCCAUAGCUGGUUUGAGAGGAUGAUCAGCCACACUGGGACUGAGACACGGCCCAGACUCCUACGGGAGGCAGCAGUGGGGAAUCUUAGACAAUGGGCGCAAGCCUGAUCUAGCCAUGCCGCGUGAGCGAUGAAGGCCUUAGGGUUGUAAGGCUCUUUCAGCUGGGAAGAUAAUGACUGUACCAGCAGAAGAAGCCCCGGCUAACUCCGUGCCAGCCGCCGCGGUAACAC